UACGUAGGGUGCAAGCGUUAAUCGGAAUUACUGGGCGUAAAGCGUGCGCAGGCGGCUUUGCAAGACAGAUGUGAAAUCCCCGGGCUAACCUGGGAACUGCAUUUGUGACUGCAUGGCUGGAGUGCGGCAGAGGGGAUGGAAUUCCGCGUGUAGCAGUGAAAUGCGUAGAUAUGCGGAGGAACACCGAUGGCGAAGGCAAUCCCCUGGGCCUGCACUGACGCUCAUGCACGAAAGCGUGGGGAGCAACAGG
rnacentral:rRNA from 1 species